GGCGGCAGGCCUAACACAUGCAAGUCGAGCGCUGUAGCAAUACAGAGCGGCGCACGGGUGAGUAACGCGUGGGAACGUGCCCUUUAGUUUGGAAUAACAGUUGGAAACGACUGCUAAUACCAAAUACGCCCUUCGGGGGAAAGAUUUAUCGCUAAAGGAUCGGCCCGCGUUAGAUUAGCUAGUUGGUGGGGUAAUGGCCUACCAAGGCUCCGAUCUAUAGCUGGUCUGAGAGGACGGCCAGCCACACUGGAACUGAGACACGGUCCAGACUCCUACGGGAGGCAGCAGUGGGGAAUAUUGGACAAUGGGGGAAACCCUGAUCCAGCCAUGCCGCGUGAGUGAUGAAGGCCUUAGGGUUGUAAAGCUCU
rnacentral:rRNA from 1 species